AUUGAACGCUGGCGGUAUGCUUUACACAUGCAAGUCGAACGGUAGAGGGGCAACCCUUGAGAGUGGCGAACGGGUGAGUAAUACAUCGGAACGUGCCCAGUCGUGGGGGAUAACGUAGCGAAAGCUACGCUAAUACCGCAUACGACCUGAGGGUGAAAGCGGGGGACCUGCAAGGGCCUCGCGCGAUUGGAGCGACCGAUGGCAGAUUAGGUAGUUGGUGAGGUAAAGGCUCACCAAGCCGACGAUCUGUAGCUGGUCUGAGAGGACGACCAGCCACACUGGGACUGAGACACGGCCCAGACUCCUACGGGAGGCAGCAGUGGGGAAUUUUGGACAAUGGGCGCAAGCCUGAUCCAGCCAUACCGCGUGCAGGAAGAAGGCCUUCGGGUUGUAAACUGCUUUUGUCAGGGAAGAAAUCUUCUGGGCUAAUACCCUGGGAGGAUGACGGUACCUGAAGAAUAAGCACCGGCUAACUACGUGCCAGCAGCCGCAGUAACAC
rnacentral:rRNA from 1 species